AGCUUUGCGCAGUGGCAGUAUCGUAACCAAUGAAGUUCAUCCGAGGUGCGAUUAUUGCUAGUUGAAAACUAUUACCAAUGGACCUUUCCCCGAGCAUUUACUUCCUUGUUUAUUUCGAGACAUUGGCUAAUCAG